CUCAUUUUUGUAAUUUAACACCUCAUUGUUAAAUAACGUCUUAUUUUUGUUAUUUAACACCUCAAUGUUUUCUGUUCAUACGCGAAUGUCUUUGUUAUCGUGGGUAUAAUAGUCUUUUUUUACCAUAUUAAAACACUCCGGAUUUUACUCGAGACGACAUUUAUUGAGUAACUGCGCUCCGAAUGUGUGUGUGUCUCCUGUUCUUUUUGAAACCGGUGUAAAUAUCCGUAUGACGAGCAGCACGGCAGGCGCCACUUUAUUUGGCGGCACUAUUUGAAAUAACAUGUUCAUACUGUAUUUUUUUGCAUCCUGUGAAGUAACGUUAGCGUAGAAGGCGGCAUUUUAACCAGCAACGAACACGGAGAACCAUGUCGGAAGAUCGCGGUCAUUGACCAAAAUCACAAAAAUCAGGUGAGUUUAAAGAGUUUCUUGAAAGUCAUGCAUAGUUUUAAUCAUCUAUCAGUGAUGUUGAUGUAUACUAAACGCAACGGACUUACGGGGACUUACACCACACGAAAUGAAGUAACUUAGCUAGUUAAUAAGGCAAGGUGAUUCAAGCUAGCAACAUUUCGAUAGUUUGUCCAUUAAUUUUAGAAUGCGCUUAUUUUAAUGUCCAUUUAUGUAUAGUACGAUCCAAAUCUAUAAACAACUAUAACGUUUAGCAUUCCCGUGUCUGGUUUGUGUGGCAUUAUUGCCAUGUGCACAUCUGGUUAAAGCAGAUUCAUCCUGAAAAUCAAACGGCUAUAAAUGUAUUUACUGAUAGCUGUUUCUUAUGCUAGAGAUAACUUAGUUGGUCUAAAACUCUAUUUAAUGAAUUCAUGACAGUUGCUUGUCUUUGAUGAAUUAUAGCUGUUUGGGCUACCAGACAUGCUGUUGUGACUAUUUUAUAUAUAUGUUUUAUGCUAUCAAUGAGGUAAAUCCAGCAAAAACAGUAGGCUACUGAUCGGGCUAGUGCAGUAUCUAGCUAUGUUAACAGCUAUUCACUUUUUAUUGCAUUGGCAUAGUGCAUCCUAUUUUUAUUUAUUUAUUUAUUUAUUGCUGUUUUAAUUAUCAUUGAGUUGUAGAUCAAUGUUUACAUUUGUUUAUUUCUUUAUUUAUUUUUAUUACAGAUGCUGAUCACACUGCUGUUCAAGAUAUCCAAGGAUUUAUAUCUCAGAACCAGGAGGAAAUUUGAAUGGUUUCUUACUUGCUUAAAGGUGCAGUGUGUAAUUUUUAGAAGGAUCUCUUGACAGAAAUGCAAAAUAAUAUACAGAACUAUAUGAGCAGGGGUGUAUAAAGACUUUUCAUAAUGAACCGUUAUGUGUUUAUUGCCUUAGAAUGAGACGUUUUAUCUACAUACACAGAGGGUCCCCUUACAUGGAAGCCGCCAUUUUGUGCAGCCAUGUUUCUACAGAAGUCCUUAACAGACAAACUUUUUUACCAAGUUGUCUCCGACAAUGGCAUGUUUGUCCGGUAGCGGCUACAGUAGCUUCUCUGUGUGUUACAAAAGCAAGAGGGAUAUGCCAUUGCAGCUGACCUUGAGAGUUCACUCUCUAUACCUGCAACUCCUCGUCUGAUACUUCUUGGAGAAACGAGAAGCCGCUUCCAGCGCUGGAUGCUCACCCUUGAGGGCCAAAUUUGCGAAGGGAUCCAGUCCACCUUUGUGACAGGGCUUGCGUCUUUUUUUCUGUUUUCACAUCUUUAACCAAGAGCAGGCAGCCUGCACGCUUGAAUUCAUCCAGAGACACGUUGAGGGUAUAAACCCAGAAAAAGGGACAAAUGCUGCAAAGGGGGAGCAAGCUCAUGGACUUUCAGUGGGAUUUCAUUUGAAAAUUACCCAAGACUUCGCAAAGGAUCCUCAUUGUGUGCUUUGAGAAAAUGGUUAGUGGUCUAAGCAGUGACACUGUUUUUUUAUUUGUUUAUUUUGUUUAUUGUUCUUUAUUGAUGAUGAGUUAAGUAUCAGUUUGAAUGUAUUCAUACAUGUUGAAUUUUAGUGGUUUAGGUAACACUAUGUUUUGAGGGUCAGAAAUUUUUAUAAUGAACAAUGUAUUUGGGUGUAAAAUGAAUUUGCUACUUUUUAAGCUAUGAACAUGAGAAAAUGAGAUUUGAUUGUGAUUAAUCUGAGCCUAUGUGUAACAUUUUUAUAUGACCAGGAGUCAAGAGUGUAUAUCCUUGGUUUGAGUCUUUUUAUUUGAAUCUUAGCAAUUCAUGGAACAUUAAAAAUCGAGGUUUAGGGCCCUAUCUUGCACUGACACAGUGCAAAGCCAAACGCAAGUGUCUCUGCUAGUUUAAGACAGACGCAGUUGUUAUUUUCCAUCCAGCGACCACUGUCAGCAAUGAACAUGAUAUACAAUAUAUUUCUGUGAUUUGUCUGAUUCAUGUGUGCCUUCAUUUGUAAGUAUUUACCUUUCAGUGUUUGUAUUACAAUAAAAAAGUAAAUUUCAA